AUGUUUGUGCAUUCAACGAAGAAAGAUUACAUGAGGAUAUUGCAAAACCAUGCGAUCGGAGUCAAAGAAGGAAAGAUUGUUUUUGUUGAAGAAAUGAUUAAAUUUCAACUGAAAGCAAACGAAAAGGAACAUGAAGUGAUCAAACUGAACAAUAACGAGUUCCUGAUGCCGGGGAUGAUUGACACACAUAUACACGCCCCCCAGUACCCUAACGCCGGGAAAGGAUUGGACCAAGGUCUGCUGGAAUGGCUCAACAAGUACACGUUUCCUACUGAGGCCAAGUUCAAAGAGCUGGAGUUUGCUAAAAACACGUACCGAAAAAUUGUUAGGCGAACGUUAGAGAACGGUACGACUACUGCCAGUUAUUAUGGGACUAUUCAUAUCGACGCCUGUCUGGCACUGUGUGAUAUCAUAGAGGAGAAUGGUCAACGAGCGUUGGUGGGAAAAGUGAACAUGAAUGCCAACUCCCCCGACUACUACAUUGAGGAGUCGGUGGACGUGUCCGUGUCGGAAACAAAGAAGUUUGUUGACGAAGUCUUACAGAAAAAGUACCCCCGGGUUUUGCCCAUUAUCACCCCACGGUUCGCCAUCAGCUGUAGUCAGCAGUUGAUGGACGCGCUAGGUCUACUUGCCAUCGAGAAAGAUCUACAUGUUCAGACACACAUCUCUGAGACCGAGGACGAAUGUGAGAUGGUGGGUAAACUGUACCCGGAGUGUGAGGACUAUCUGGACGUAUACGACAAGGCCGGGCUAAUCCGGAACAAGACUGUACUAGGCCAUGGUAUCUACUUGUCUGACAAGGAGAGAAAGAAGAUCAAACAGAAAGGCGCCUCAAUUUCUCACUGCCCAAACUCCAAUUUGUCCAUACGGAGUGGCAUCUUUAACGCCCGACAAUGUCUUUCAGAAGGGAUCAAAGUAGGACUCGGCACAGACGUGUCGGGUGGAUACAGCCCCUCUAUGAUGGACGCUAUGAGGACCGCUAUACACGUGUCCAACAUGUUGACCAUCAAGGACCGCACCCACAAACCUAUCACCCACAGGGAAGUGUUCAUGAUGGCCACUUACGGCGGAAGUCAAGCCCUAGCUAUAGACCAUCUGGUGGGUAACUUUGAGGUGGGUAAGGAGUUUGACGCCCUGCUGGUGUCUCUGGACUGUCCCGGCUCUCAGGUGGACAUCUUUGAUGACGACACCCCAGAGGAUCUCGUGCAGAAAUUCAUUUUCCUGGGUGAUAACAGAAAUAUACAAAAGGUGUUCGUAAACGGAGAAGAUGUUCUACAACGAAAGGUCCCAGAUGUAUGUCCGAAAGCUUAAUAAAAUAGAUAUUCGAUAGGACCUUUAUACAUUUCUACACAUGCUACGAGUGUAGGUUAAAUAAUCAUGGUCUGAUAAUACAUAGUAAAACAGGUAACUGAAUGAUAAUAAUGAUUCUAAAAAUUAUGAUUUUUUUUUAUGACAAACCUUGGAUUUUUAAAAAAAAAAUAUUAUAUUUCAUUUUUUUUGCGAUGCCAAAAUGAAUAACUCGCCUGUUUUGAUUAUUUCUAAUUUAAAGUAUAACGUGUAUUAAAUUUAUGAUUUCUUACCUGUUUUUUUUGUUCAUCAAAUGAGUUGAAUGAGAAAAAUUUGUUGCUUGUGUAGAUAUGUAUAUGAUAGAGACAACUUUCAUGCUGUGCAUAAUCGUUUUAUGAAUAAUCUCAGUGUUGUUUAACAGUUUUCUAAUUUUAGAGAGCUUUACAUUUUUUAUGAUGGUUUUUUUAUUUAUUUAGUGUCAGAAAGGAUAGCUUCCAUAUUGUGAUAUAGAAGAUGUUUUAAUUACUCUACUUAAUUAUUAAAAUGCAGAAUAUUUUCUGUCUUUAUUCGUCAAAAUUUAAGAUGAAGCUAUCAUAUGUAAAUAUGGUAAUCUUGACAUUGUACAUUAAAAUUAUGAUUUAGAUUUUUCAUUUCAUUGUUUAAAAGAAAGUUAUUAAAUUACUCAGACCUUCAAUAUAUUUUGGACGUAUUAACAUCUAUAUACGGUUUGUUUUCAUGACUACCGGUACAUACAUGUAUAUUCAUUAAUGCAUGAGUUAUAUAACGAGAACAUAUUUACAUGUAUAUUAACAGAAUAAAAUGACAAUACGGUGUGUAAGAUAUAAAUGUAAUUUAGUGAUCCAGGCAUCUUGUUGUUCAAUAUAUUUUAAAAAGUUUAUGAUAAUAAUGCAAUCAGCAUUAUGAAAAUUGUGUUAACGUUGUAUUUUGAAAUAAAUUUAUCAAACC
rnacentral:misc_RNA from 1 species